UAAAAGCCUGAUGAUCAGUCCAAAACCGUGAUACAUGCACGGCAAGCCAAGCAGUGGAAAACCGUCGCUGAGUUUGACCGAAACAUCCAGGAGAAAAACAUUAUUCCGCUGGAAGGYCCAAUGAAAAAUUAGAUCAUCUUUAUAUUCUCUGGUGGAUUCCAAUACGAUUUCAAGAUAUGCAACCCACGCAAGCACUUCUCCUAUUUCUGGUAGCCGUGUCUCUUUUGGCAUUAAGUAUCUCUUUUGAGCAUGUUCAGAGUGAUGAAGAACUUGAUAAUUUCAUGAAGGAAGGUGAUGCUCACCAUAUAAGCAAAAAAGGCAGAUUGCGGGCACCCUGUGGCUUUACUUUAAGAUGUCGACGACGACGGAUGAAAAACAACUAUUUCAGACGUGGUACGGUAAUCACUGAAGAUGCAGUAAGCGAUAACGAUUUYCCCCCACAAGAAAGUAAUGCAUUGAAAUAAAAAUACAUUCAAAGGUGACGAAGCAGGAAAGUUGAAUUAAAACAAACCAGUUCAAAUAAACGUAUUUUUCAACUAA